rnacentral:rRNA from 1 species
UGAGAAUCCCACAGGCCGUAAACCCAAGGUUUCCAGGGGAAGGUUCGUCCGCCCUGGGUUAGUCGGGACCUAAGCUGAGGCCGAAAGGCGUAGGUGAUGGACAACAGGUUGAUAUUCCUGUACUACCAAUAAUCGUUUGAGAGAUGGGAUGACACAGUAGGAUAAGCUAAGCACACUGUUGGUUAUGUGUGCCCAAGCAUUGAGGCAGUCAGAGUAGGUAAAUCCGCUUUGAUAAUGCUGGGAUGUGAUGGGGAGCGAAAUUUAGUAGCGAAGUAGCUGAUUUCACACUGUCAAGAAAAGUCUCUAUCGAGGUUAAAGGUACCCGUACCGCAAACCGACACAGGUGGGUGAGGAGAGUAUCCUAAGGCCCGCGAGAGAACUGUUGUUAAGGAACUCGGCAAAAUGACCCCGUAACUUAGGGAUAAGGGGUGCCACCAUCCGGUGGCCGCAGAGAAUAGGCCCAAGCGACUGUUUACCAAAAACAUAGGUUUCUGCUAAGUCGCAAGACGAUGUAUAGGAGCUGACGCCUGCCCGGUGCUGGAAGGUUAAGGGGAUCUGUUAGAGCAAUCGAAGCAGUGAACUUAAGCCCCAGUAAACGGCGGCCGUAACUAUAACGGUCCUAAGGUAGCGAAAUUCCUUGUCGGGUAAGUUCCGACCCGCACGAAAGGCGUAA